UAGCUAGUUGGGAGGUAACGGCUCACCAAGGGCACGAUGCGUAGCCGACCUGAGAGGUGAUCGGCCACACUGGGACUGAGACACGGCCCAGAUUCCUACGGGAGGCAGCAGUAGGGAAUCUUCCGCAAGGACGAAAGUCUGACGGAGCAACGCCGCGUGAGUGAUGAAGGUUUUCGGAUCGUAAAGCUCUGUUGUUAGGGAAGAACAAGUGCCGUUCAAAUAGGGCGGCACCUUGACGGUACCUAACCAGAAAGCCACGGCUAACUACGUGCCAGCAGCCGCGGUAAUACGUAGGUGGCAAGCGUUGUCCGGAAUUAUUGGGCGUAAAGGGCUCGCAGGCGGUUUCUUAAGUCUGAUGUGAAAGCCCCCGGCUCAACCGGGGAGGGUCAUUGGAAACUGGGGAACUUGAGUGCAGAAGAGGAGAGUGGAAUUCCACGUGUAGCGGUGAAAUGCGUAGAGAUGUGGAGGAACACCAGUGGCGAAGGCGACUCUCUGGUCUGUAACUGACGCUGAGGAGCGAAAGCGUGGGGAGCGAACAGGAUUAGAUACCCUGGUAGUCCACGCCGUAAACGAUGAGUGCUAAGUGUUAGGGGGUUUCCGCCCCUUAGUGCUGCAGCUAACGCAUUAAGCACUCCGCCUGGGGAGUACGGUCGCAAGACUGAAACUCAAAGGAAUUGACGGGGGCCCGCACAAGCGGUGGAGCAUGUGGUUUAAUUCGAAGCAACGCGAAGAACCUUACCAGGUCUUGACAUCCUCUGACAAUCCUAGAGAUAGGACGUCCCCUUCGGGGGCAGAGUGACAGGUGGUGCAUGGUUGUCGUCAGCUCGUGUCGUGAGAUGUUGGGUUAAGUCCCGCAACGAGCGCAACCCUUGAUCUUAGUUGCCAGCAUUCAGUUGGGCACUCUAAGGUGACUGCCGGUGACAAACCGGAGGAAGGUGGGGAUGACGUCAAAUCAUCAUGCCCCUUAUGACCUGGGCUACACACGUGCUACAAUGGACAGAACAAAGGGCAGCGAAACCGCGAGGUUAAGCCAAUCCCACAAAUCUGUUCUCAGUUCGGAUCGCAGUCUGCAACUCGACUGCGUGAAGCUGGAAUCGCUAGUAAUCGCGGAUCAGCAUGCCGCGGUGAAUACGUUCCCGGGCCUUGUACACACCGCCCGUCACACCACGAGAGUUUGUAACACCCGAAGUCGGUGAGGUAACCUUUAUGGAGCCAGCCGCCGAAG
rnacentral:rRNA from 1 species